rnacentral:rRNA from 1 species
AACGAACGCUGGCGGCAGGCCUAACACAUGCAAGUCGAGCGGCGCGGCGGAAGGGUGAGUAAUGCCUAGGAAUCUACCUGUUAGUAGCAUAUACCUUAGGGACACGGGCGCCAAUACCGCAUACUUUAAAAUGAGCCUAGGUCGGAUUAGCUGGUUGGUGGGGUAAAGGACUACCAAGUCGGCGAUCCGUAGCUGGUCUGAGAGGAUGAUCAGUCACACGGGAACUGAGACACGGCCCAGACUCGUACGGUAGGCAGCAGUGGGGAAGAUUGGACAAUGGGCGAAAGUCUGAUCGAGCCAUGCCGGGUGAGUGAAGAAGGUCUUCGGAUUGUAAAGCUCUUUAGUUUGAGAGGCGUUACCAAAAGAGUAAGCAACGGCUAACUUCGUGCCAGCAGCCGCGGUAAUAC